rnacentral:rRNA from 1 species
AUGAAACCAUUUAACAACAUAUUCAAUACUCUUCGUCCGGGCAUCUCGAAUGGUCCGAAUUAUAAUAGGCGGAAACGUAAUUUUUUGAAACGUGGGGAGGAGUACAUAGUUCCUCGCAAGCUUUCAGAGAAUGAUUUUGUUGUUAUAAAGGAAGCCUCCGCCAGGGGUAGGGAGGAACAUAUUGCAGCCAUCAAAUUGAAUGGAAAGAUAAUUAUGGACCACUGGUGUCCCAUUCUGUGUGGCUUUCUCUCAAAUGAUGAACCUUUAAUCAACUCGAAAAAGAAGAAGCGAAAGGUUAAGGAUGUUGUUGCUACUCAACCCAUGAAAUCUAGAGAGCUGCAGCAAAGUGGCGUAUCAAAGUCUGUUGUUGCAGUUGGUUCUUCCUCUGCUCAUCCAUUGCUAGUGUGUAGUGAUGAUCUUCCGGAAACUGCCCUGGCCACCGGCGGACAGAAGCGUAGAAAUUUAUGGCCCACUCAUGCUGACGAAGAAGAGAGGCUCCCCUUCAAGCGCAAACUUGAUUUUUCCCAAGAAAAUGAUUUUUCUGAACCAAUAACCUUGGACGGUCCGUCAAUAGAUGUUGAACUUAGUAGCUUUGUUAAUGAUGAAGAUUUUGGCCAUGUUCUCACGGGAGAAAAGGACCAUGGCCUUGGUGACCUUUUCGAUUUAUCUGUCGAGGAUUAUACCUUUGGCGAGUGUGGCACAAGUUAUCCACCUUCCAGCCCAGGUUGUGACCAAGAAAUUCGCCACUCACCAGACCCUGAGGUGAUGGUUGUAUCAGGGAAAGGCGCACAGAUGGACUGCAGUUUCAUCAAGGACAUGUUUAUGGAUGCUACAGAUUUCAUAGUGAAACGAGCCCUCAAAGGACUGAACGACUCUACCCUUGGUGAUCCCGAGCGACGCAUCAUGCUUGAGAGUGUUUCUCAGACGCUGCCCACGCAAGUGCCUGAGGUAGCUAAGGUGCAGGCCAUGUUGGUCGGGCUUAUUGACCUUUCCAAGAAGUUGGAGAGUGGCCAGACCGAAUUCACGAAAGAAUCCGAGCGAGAUGAACAUGUUGUUGCUGAAAUAGAACUUAAUAUUAAGUUUGGCCAUGAAGUUUCCAAGGACAUAAUUGGGGACUUAUCUGCCGUGGAAAAUAAGUGCACUGAAAUGGAGGCACAAGAAGCAGAAUUGAAGGCCCAGCUUGAAGAGGUUACUGCUACUUUGCACAAGCUUAAAUUGGAAAUGGAACAGCGCCGACAAGCACAUGAUGCCCAUCAAUCUGAACAGAAGAAGUUGCUGAAGAGUCUACAGGAUACCAAUGCUGGCAAACGUACAAGGCUUGCUAAAUUUAAACAAAAGACAACAGAUUUAAAGACCGAAGCAAGUCAGUUGUUGAACAACCUGCAGAACUGGCGAGCUCCUUGA